GCAGGAGCACUAACACCAGGGUGCAAGUUUAUGAGCCUUAAAGACAUCUAAUAUGGCAUGUACGAAUCAUAGGCAACAUGUAUGACAGUAUCAGAGUUGCCUAUUAUUGCAACCUGUAUGACAAGGUCGGAGUUGCCUAAAACAUAAAUGUAAGCAUGUCAUAACUCAAUCAUUUCAACUAAUACUAUAAACUCACCUAAACUUACCUGUGUGUCCUGAGUUCACCUUCGCGCUUCCAAGCAUUUACAAUAAUUAUAUGCAGAUAAUAUACAUAUGAAUAUGGAGUUUUAGGAAACUAAGUGACAUAGUUUGAGUUAUAUGGGGUAAAGUGAGACUCAUAUUGAGUUUUAUGAAGCAUAUGUGUAAAUAAAUCUUAGGAUUAAGUAUCUAAAACCCCCUAGCCUUUUAGUGUCAUUCCAAAUUCGUAUCAACCAUUUUUAACAUUCCAAAUUAAAAAGUAUCCAACCUAUUGAAAAUGUCACAUCCAUUAAGCUCCAGUUAAUUUUUUCAUUAAAUAUAUAUGUGGCAACACUGGAUCCAACCUAUUAAAAGUAUCAUAUAUGUUAAGCCCCAAUUAAUUUUUUCCGUUGAUCCUAUAUCUUGUUAUAUAUGUGUCCUCAUUUAGAAAGCAUGGUAACUAUAUAUGUACUGCUUAAUGUACCUUUGCAGAAAUUUGGAGAAUAACAACCUCACGGGCUCAAUUCCGGUGGUACUCAUUGACAGAUGGAAGGAUGGUUUACUAUCAACAAGGUGCGCCACCCUCCUUUUUUUUUCUUAUUUUUUUUUAGCAGAACGAGGAUAUUUGUUGAAGAAAAUAGAAAAAACUAUAUAUUAAAAUAGAAAAAAAUAAAUACCCGGACAACUGUAAGUUUUAUACAAAAGUAAUUACAUUUUACCCUCUCAGGUUUGGGAUCAAUUUCAAUUCCUUGCAUCUUUAAACAUUUCAAUUUCAUACAUCCGUUAGAAAAUUUGUUAAGUAAACCGUUAAGUGAUGACGUGGCAAAUAUGAGAUCCACA
rnacentral:lncRNA from 1 species